rnacentral:rRNA from 1 species
ACUGAAACAUCUAAGUACCCCGAGGAAAAGAAAUCAACCGAGAUUCUGUGAGUAGCGGCGAGCGAAAGUGGAAGAGCCAGUUAGUUUUAGCAUUUGUAUUAAGAGAAUGAGUUGGGAAACUCAAUCAAAGAGGGUGAUAAUCCCGUAUCUGAAAAUACAAUUGUGGAACUAAGCUAACGAUAAGUAGGGCGGGACACGUGAUAUCCUGUUUGAAGAUGGGGGGACCAUCCUCCAAGGCUAAAUACUCCUGAUUGACCGAUAGUGAACAAGUACUGUGAAGGAAAGGUAAAAAGAACCCCUGCGAGGGGAGUGAAAUAGAACCUGAAACCGUGUACGUACAAGCAGUAGGAGCAACUUCGUGUUGUGACUGCGUACCUUUUGUAUAAUGGGUCAGCGACUUAUAUUUUGUAGCAAGGUUAACCGAAUAGGGGAGCCGUAGGGAAACCGAGUCUUAACUGGGCGUUUAGUUGCAAGGUAUAGACCCGAAACCCGGUGAUCUAGCCAUGGGCAGGUUGAAGGUUGGGUAACACUAACUGGAGGACCGAACCGACUAAUGUUGAAAAAUUAGCGGAUGACUUGUGGCUGGGGGUG